AUGAUAAACAAAAAACAAUUAAAAACAGUGGCAGUUAUUUCAGUUGAUUGUUUACAUUCCAAAUCAAUGAUGGCCAACGCAUCAUCCUGGCCACGCCCCUUCAUCUACCCUCAGAAGAGCUCUGAGACCUCCAGGCUGAUGCUCAGACACAAGCAGAUGAAGGAGACGCCCGACACACAAGAACACAGUGCCAUGAACAACCUGCUCUUUUACACCCAACACAGCCCUUUAUGGCACACUGCCUUCUGUCAAAAUCUCACCUUUACCAAGAAAAGAGGCAUCUGUAAAGGCAGACAGAUCUUAGCAUUUGAAGAUGCUGAAAAAAAUGAUGAAACAAGAUUUUUGACCCUGAACUUGUAUCAAAAUGGCACUGUCAUGGCCCAGGGAUCAGAGUCUGCUCUCAAGAUCUUCAUUAAAGAUUUUGAAUUAAUAAAAAAGCUUGCACUGUCUGAUGAAGGGUACAAGAAUAUGAACAUUGUUCCCUCUCCUGAAAAAUCAGUUCUAAAGACGACAGUGACUUCAGCAACUACCAUUCCAUCUCCAAUGUCAAGAAUGAAAGACAACUUUUCACUUCUGGAAGUAGAAGUCGUGGAGAUAAAAGAAUUAAUACUAUCCCACCUGAAAGACAACAACAUGGAACAAGUGACAAUUGAAAUAAAGAACUUAAAACAAGAAGUUGAAUCUCUGCAGAGACACAGAGAAGAAAUGACAGAAGAACUUCAGAAAACCAAAGAUGAAUUAAGGGAAGUAAAAUCAACUUUAGGAAGACAACUUAAGGAGUUAUCGGCCUUGAAGUCAGUACUCCACACCAAAGAUGAACUCAUCACAGAUCUGACAGAAAGACUUAACUCUGUUUCAGCACCUAGAGAGUCUUCUGCCAAACCCUUGACUCGUCCAGAGAUGCUCAUGGAAAACCCUCAACCUGAACAGCAGCCAGUGGAAGAAGAGCCUCACUGCUCGACUGAUCCUGCACCCCAGAUCCACAGCUCCUCUGCACAGGACCUGGGAGAAACACAUGCUCUUAUCCUGACAGACUCUAAUGGGAAAUAUGUCAAAGAGAGACUUCUGCUACCAAACAUGAGAGCCAAGAAAAUCUGGUGCCCAAACACAAGAAGUGCUUUUCAGAUCCUGUCUGAAAGUAAACAUGAAAACUACAAGCACAUCGUAAUCCACACAGGGACGAAUGAUUUAAGGGCCAUGAAGGGCCGUGUGGCUCCUAUAAUGAGAGAGGUGGCGAUCAGAGCCACACAACACUUCCCAGAGGCCAAAGUAACUCUGUUCACACUGCUGCCACGCACCGAUGUGCCUUUCCACGUCAUCCACGGGAAUAAUGUGGAACUCUCCAGAAGCUGCGCACUCAUUCCUAAUGUUCAUCUCGCCCAUAACAAAGACAUACAGCCUCAUCAUAUGUAUGACCACAUACAUCUCAAUAAGCAAAGAGUGAAAGUCUUCGCCAGAGUGCUGAAAAGCACAGCCCUUGGAAACACCGCAAGAAACAACAGAAACUCCGCUAACAGGCGAAGCCCUCGUCCUCCAGCAGAGCCCACGCGGACCACCGGACCCCCAUCCCAACACAAGAGCUAUGCAACACAGAGAAGCCCUCGUCCUCCAGCAGAGCACACACGGACCAGCGGACCCCCAUCCCAACACAAGAGCUACACGGCACAGAGAAGCCCUCGUCCUCCAGCAGAGCCCACACGGACCACCGGACCCCCAUCCCAACACAAGAGCUACGCGACACAGAGAAGCCCUCGUCCUCCAGCAGAGCCCACGCGGACCACCGGACCCCCAUCCCAACACAAGAGCUACGCGACACAGAGAAGCCCUCGUCCUCCAGCAGAGCCCACACGGACCACCGGACCCCCAUCCCAACACAAGAGCUACGCGACACAGAGAAGCCCUCGUCCUCCAGCAGAGCCCACGCGGACCAGCGGACCCCCAUCCCAACACAAGAGCUACGCGACACAGAGAAGCCCUCGUCCUCCAGCAGAGCCCACGCGGACCAGCGGACCCCCAUCCCAACACAAGAGCUACGCGACACAGAGAAGCCCUCGUCCUCCAGCAGAGCCCACACGGACCACCGGCCCCCAUCCCAACACAAGAGCUACGCGACACAGAGAAGCCCUCGUCCUCCAGCAGAGCCCACGCGGACCAGCGGACCCCCAUCCCAACACAAGAGCUACGCGACACAGAGAAGCCCUCGUCCUCCAGCAGAGCCCACGCGGACCAGCGGACCCCCAUCCCAACACAAGAGCUACGCGACACAGAGAAGCCCUCGUCCUCCAGCAGAGCCCACACGGACCACCGGCCCCCAUCCCAACACAAGAGCUACGCGACACAGAGAAGCCCUCGUCCUCCAGCAGAGCCCACACGGACCACCGGCCCCCAUCCCAACACAAGAGCUACGCGACACAGAGAAGCCCUCGUCCUCCAGCAGAGCCCACACGGACCAGCGGACCCCCAUCCCAACACAAGAGCUACGCGACACAGAGAAGCCCUCGUCCUCCAGCAGAGCCCACGCGGACCAGCGGACCCCCAUCCCAACACAAGAGCUACGCGACACAGAGAAGCCCUCGUCCUCCAGCAGAGCCCACGCGGACCAGCGGACCCCCAUCCCAACACAAGAGCUACGCGACACAGAGAAGCCCUCGUCCUCCAGCAGAGCCCACACGGACCACCGGCCCCCAUCCCAACACAAGAGCUACGCGACACAGAGAAGCCCUCGUCCUCCAGCAGAGCCCACACGGACCAGCGGACCCCCAUCCCAACACAAGAGCUACGCGACACAGAGAAGCCCUCGUCCUCCAGCAGAGCCCACACGGACCACCGGACCCCAUCCCAACACAAGAGCUACGCGACACAGAGAAGCCCUCGUCCUCCAGCAGAGCCCACACGGACCACUGGACCCCCAUCCCAACACAAGAGCUACGCGGCACAGAGAAGCCCUCGUCCUCCAGCAGAGCCCACACGGACCAGCGGACCCCCAUCCCAACACAAGAGCUACGCGACACAGAAGCCCUCGUCCUCCAGCAGAGCCCACACGGACCACCGGCCCCCAUCCCAACACAAGAGCUACGCGACACAGAGAAGCCCUCGUCCUCCAGCAGAGCCCACGCGGACCACCGGACCCCCAUCCCAACACAAGAGCUACGCGACACAGAGAAGCCCUCGUCCUCCAGCAGAGCCCACACGGACCACCGGACCCCCAUCCCAACACAAGAGCUACGCGACACAGAAGCCCUCGUCCUCCAGCAGAGCCCACACGGACCAGCGGACCCCCAUCCCAACACAAGAGCUACGCGACACAGAGAAGCCCUCGUCCUCCAGCAGAGCCCACACGGACCACCGGACCCCCAUCCCAACACAAGAGCUACGCGACACAGAAGCCCUCGUCCUCCAGCAGAGCCCACACGGACCACCGGACCCCAUCCCAACACAAGAGCUACGCGACACAGAGAAGCCCUCGUCCUCCAGCAGAGCCCACACGGACCACUGGACCCCCAUCCCAACACAAGAGCUACGCGGCACAGAGAAGCCCUCGUCCUCCAGCAGAGCCCACACGGACCAGCGGACCCCCAUCCCAACACAAGAGCUACGCGACACAGAAGCCCUCGUCCUCCAGCAGAGCCCACACGGACCACCGGACCCCCAUCCCAACACAAGAGCUACGCGACACAGAGAAGCCCUCGUCCUCCAGCAGAGCCCACGCGGACCACCGGACCCCCAUCCCAACACAAGAGCUACGCGACACAGAGAAGCCCUCGUCCUCCAGCAGAGCCCACACGGACCACCGGACCCCCAUCCCAACACAAGAGCUACGCGACACAGAAGCCCUCGUCCUCCAGCAGAGCCCACACGGACCAGCGGACCCCCAUCCCAACACAAGAGCUACGCGACACAGAAGCCCUCGUCCUCCAGCAGAGCCCACGCGGACCACCGGACCCCCAUCCCAACACAAGAGCUACGCGACACAGAGGAGCCCUCGUCCUCCAGCAGAGCCCACGCGGACCACCGGACCCCCAUCCCAACACAAGAGCUACGCGACACAGAGAAGCCCUCGUCCUCCAGCAGAGCCCACACGGACCAGCGGACCCACAUCCCAACACAAGAGCUACGCGACACAGAGAAGCCCUCGUCCUCCAGCAGAGCCCACACGGACCACCGGACCCCCAUCCCAACACAAGAGCUACGCGACACAGAGAAGCCCUCGUCCUCCAGCAGAGCCCACACGGACCACUGGACCCCCAUCCCAACACAAGAGCUACGCGACACAGAGAAGCCCUCGUCCUCCAGCAGAGCCCACACGGACCACCGGACCCCCAUCCCAACACAAGAGCUACGCGACACAGAGAAGCCCUCGUCCUCCAGCAGAGCACACACGGACCACCGGACCCCCAUCCCAACACAAGAGCUACGCGACACAGAGAAGCCCUCGUCCUCCAGCAGAGCCCACACGGACCACCGGACCCCCAUCCCAACACAAGAGCUACGCGACACAGAGAAGCCCUCGUCCUCCAGCAGAGCCCACGCGGACCACCGGACCCCCAUCCCAACACAAGAGCUACGCGACACAGAGAAGCCCUCGUCCUCCAGCAGAGCCCACGCGGACCACUGGACCCCCAUCCCAACACAAGAGCUACGCGACACAGAGAAGCCCUCGUCCUCCAGCAGAGCCCACACGGACCACCGGACCCCCAUCCCAACACAAGAGCUACGCGACACAGAGAAGCCCUCGUCCUCCAGCAGAGCCCACGCGGACCACCGGACCCCCAUCCCAACACAAGAGCUACGCGACACAGAGAAGCCCUCGUCCUCCAGCAGAGCCCACGCGGACCACCGGACCCCCAUCCCAACACAAGAGCUACGCGACACAGAGAAGCCCUCGUCCUCCAGCAGAGCCCACACGGACCAGCGGACCUCCAUCCCAACACAAGAGCUACGCGACACAGAGAAGCCCUCGUCCUCCAGCAGAGCCCACACGGACCACCGGACCCCCAUCCCAACACAAGAGCUACGCGACACAGAGAAGCCCUCGUCCUCCAGCAGAGCCCACACGGACCACUGGACCCCCAUCCCAACACAAGAGCUACGCGACACAGAGAAGCCCUCGUCCUCCAGCAGAGCCCACACGGACCACCGGACCCCCAUCCCAACACAAGAGCUACGCGACACAGAGAAGCCCUCGUCCUCCAGCAGAGCACACACGGACCACCGGACCCCCAUCCCAACACAAGAGCUACGCGACACAGAGAAGCCCUCGUCCUCCAGCAGAGCCCACACGGACCACCGGACCCCCAUCCCAACACAAGAGCUACGCGACACAGAGAAGCCCUCGUCCUCCAGCAGAGCCCACGCGGACCACCGGACCCCCAUCCCAACACAAGAGCUACGCGACACAGAGAAGCCCUCGUCCUCCAGCAGAGCCCACGCGGACCACUGGACCCCCAUCCCAACACAAGAGCUACGCAGCGGCCGCUCAACAACCACAGAACCCUGCAGCCGCUGAACUCAACCAGAUCCAACAUCUGCUGA
rnacentral:lncRNA from 1 species